UCUGGUUGAGGAACAAAGGAAGGAGCCAAAUUAUCCAAAAAAUGAUCAGACAUAGUAGACGGUAGACUGGGGGAUGAAUUCUUGAAAGCUGAUCUGAAACGUUUAAUAUUUUGCCAAACAAAAGAUGGUUUAACUUCAGCCCAGGAACACUCACUAUCCCACCAGGGAGGCAAUGGAAUAUUAUUUGAGGAAGGCUUCUUUGAUGGAAAAACUUCGUCAGCAGUCUCAAUAAUAGCAUGUGCAAAAGCUUCAGAACUCCGAUACACAUCACCUUGGCUUAAGAUAGAAAGAGUUAAGAUCUUAUUAUCUAGGGUAGCUUUGUAUAAAUCCCAGUCUGCGCUAGCCAACUGAUAUUUAAUUCGGAAAGAGGUUUUAGUUUUAUUGAAAUUUUUAAAAGGUAAAUUUAUUAAAAUGGGGAAGUGAUCACUACCAUAAGUGGAGUUUAAGGUUUGCCAAAUCAAUGAUGAGGCUAAACUGGGUGAAGAAAUGGGAAGGUCAGGAGCACUUUUACCUUCAUUAAUAUUGGUUCUUCGUGUAGGAGUGCAAUUAUUUAAAAUACAAAGAUUAAGUGAAUCUACAAUGUCCAACA